AAGUCGUAACAAGGUUUCCGUAGGUGAACCUGCGGAAGGAUCAUUAACACAAGUAAAAAACAUUUUACAACACCCUAUUAUGAAUUUAAAUUUUUUAAUUUAAAUUUUAAUUUUUUUAUAAAACUACCAAAAAAAUAUUUAAUUUAUUUGACUAACAUUUUUUAAUUUAAUUUAUUUAAAAUUUUAUAAAACAACUCUUAACAACGGAUAUCUUGGCUCUC
rnacentral:misc_RNA from 1 species